CACACACGACACGCUCAGCAUCCGCGCUUCUUCCACCCCCCGCCUCCCAGGAUUACCGUUCGGGACCGCCGCUCUCGCAGGCGGGGCCGCCUCUGGUUUCCGGGGCUAAAGCGCCGCUUCUCCUUUCCCCGGGGAUCCACCCUGCGGCUCGGCCGCCUCCCGCGCUCACUGCGCUAGCUCAGCCCCCCACAACCCGAGCUCCUUUGGUGGGACGGGGCAUCGCCCCGGUGAGCACCUCAACAGCAGGAAAAGAAAUCCUGGUUUUCCCGUUGUUCUGCAGAAAUUUUAAGCAGUCUGCAGGCACUGCAAUCCUUUUCAAGUGAUCAAAGAGUUAUACUGCUGUUCUGGCAACACAGAAUAUUCAAAAAGUACGGAAUUGCAGAAGAUACUUGAUAGCUGUGAUGAUUCAGAAGAAUUUGACCACCCGACGAUCUCAUUUGGCUUAAAAUAAACUUGGCUUUAAUAUUUUUUUCCAAACUCACAAACAGGAUAGGUACUGGAAAAGGAAGCAAUCUAUUGAGAGUACAUGGUGCCUGUGGACUGAGGUCACCUUUUACACUGGGGACUUUUAAGUCAGAAGCUGAAUUACUUGGUCUGAAAAUGUUUUCAUUAUCAUGGGUUGGUCUAGGGAUGAUGUAAUGUUAAUGAACAGAGGAGCUGCCAACAAACAUGAACUGUAUUUACAGACUUGGCAAUGACACACAAUAUCCUGAAUGUGUGGCCCCAACCUCAAAUGCUGUGAGACAUUGCUCAAGUAACAGCACAGAUAAGAAGGCACAGUUUUUCUGACAGAGAAACUGUAAUAAAGAGCUGCAGGUAAAGUUUCCUGGCAUUGCAUUCAUUUGGCAGUCCUUCUGAUAAAAUCCAAUUAAAUGCUUGUAUUCAAUUGUUCUCUCCUCGUUUUUCUUGUGCAGUGCCAAUAGCCUUUGAUCCAAACCACCUCCUCUAGCAAGACCCACUUUCUCCAGGGAAUACGUGCAUUGGAGGAGGAGGAAUUGGGUUACUUCUCUCCAGUUCACAAAUGGAAACAGCUCUGACUCAGCCUCAUGGUCAUUCACAGAGAAUGAGUGGUACAGACCUCAUCCUGAACAACAAGAAGCAGCACCAGUGAAUUUUAUCACAUGAAUGCACAAUGCACAUGAACAGUCUCUGCCUUCAUGUUCCUAAGAUCAAAAUUUAAAACUUCUUGGGACACGUGGCACUGACAAACUCCAAAGCUCACAUUACAAAACAUUCAAAUGACAUUUACUUUUCCUGUUUCUGCAUCUACUGUGGAAACCAAACUUCAAAACUCAAUUAUCAAUUGCCAUUGAAGAAGUAUGUUUGUGUACUGCUCAUUUCCAUGGCUUUGAAGAGAAUAAAGCCUGUGAUAGUAGCCUGCAACUAGAAACUGCCACCUAAGUUUCACAGAGAAUUUUGGUAAAGCCAGAAUGUGACAUCACCUUAAAUCCCAACCGCAGUGCAGUCAAGGAAAAUUCCCAUUAGCUUCAUGAGCAUCUGGAUUUCUUACACUGUUGUUCUGGGUUUGCAUGGCAAGGUUUGGCAGUGGGAGGGCUGCAGGGGUGGCUUCUGUGAGAAGUUGCCAAAAGCUUCCCCAUGUCUGACAGAGCCAGUGCUAGCCAGCUCUAGGACAGACCCUGCCCUGGCCAAGGCAGAGCCCAUCAGUGAUGGUGGUGGUGGCCUCUGGGAUCAUAAGAGUUAAGAAGAGGAACAAGUUACUGCGCAGGAGCAAACUGCAGCCAGAGAAGACAGGAGUGAGAAUAUGUGAAAGAAACAGAUCUGCAGGCUCCAAGGUCAGUGCAGAAGGAGAGGGAGGGGGUGCACUGUGCACUGGAGCUGAUUCCCCUACAGCCCAUGGUGAGGCAGCUCUGCCCCUAUAGCCCACGGAGGUUAAUGGUGGAGCAGAGAUCCACCUGCAGCCUGUGGAGGAUCCCACACUGGAACAGGGGCAUGCUGUGGAUGCCAUGACCCUGUGGGAAGCUCACACAGGAGCAGAUUUACUGGCAGAGCUUGUGACCCCACAGAGGGGGCCCAUGCUGGAGCAGUCUGUGCCUGAAGGACUGUACCCAAAGGGAGGGACUCAUGCUGAAGCAGUUUGUGAACAGCAGCCCAUGGGAAGGACUUAUGCUGGAGAAUUUUUUGGAGAACCUUCUCCCAUGGAGAGACCCCUUGCUGGAGCAGGGGAAGAUUGUGAGGAAGAAGGAGCAACAGAGACAACUGACAGAUGAACUGACCACAAUGCCCAGCCUCUCCCCCUGAACCACUGGGGGAGGGGGAAAGGUAAAGAAUUCAAGUGUAUAGCUAAGCCUGGGAAAAAGAGAAGUACGGUGGGAAGAUGUUUUUAAGAUUUGGGGUUAUUUCUCAUUAUCUUGACUUUGACUUCCCUAAGUCAACUCUGUUUUGCUUGUAACAGUAACUUGUGAGUGAUAGCUCACUGUGCUUAUCUUGACCCAUGAGACUUACACUUUAUUUUCUCUCCCCUGUCCAGCUCAGGAGUAAUAGAGCAGCUUUAGUAGGCACGUGGCAUCCAGCCAGGGUUAAUCCACACAACUGUACAGACAAAUGUAAACGGUAGCUUUUUUUGACCUAAAGCAAUGCAGGGAGUUGCAGUAAAAAGAAAAGAUGAAAGAAAGCUACUGGAUAAUAGAAAAACUCUCCCAAGAACGGAUUUGUCUUUGACUGACGGAAUCAGAACAUUUGUUUCACAUGCCACUCCCACAGCACAGGGUUGGCUUUUAGUUCUUAUAGUCUAACACCUAAAAUAUGGGUUGCAGAAAUAAUAGUCCAUUUCCAGAGCUUAGGGCCUGUUUUUUCAAUCUACUUACAAUAAAGGGGGGAAAAGAAAAAAGCAGAACUGCUUCCAAGAAGAAAAAAACAAAACUAUUGUAUAACUCUGACAGGUUGAUAGUUUGAAAUGAUUCAGAAGUCCAGGAGCCUGCCAGCAGCCAGAUCAGCAGAGAUCCAAAGCUGAGAUGCAAAACUUACCUAGCUCCUUAAGUACUCCCGGAGGACUCAGUGUCCAGAAAAACAACUAAGAGCUUGUGCUAAUCUAUGAAUGCAUAAAUGUAAAAUAACUUCAAUUAAUGCAAAUCAUGUUGUGACAGACAACGUAACAGCAUGGAAGCUGCUUGACCAACAUAUGUUGAUUUGUAUAGAAAGAUUGCGGUUUCUGGAGAGUUUCCAAGUGAGUUAAAAAAGGCUGUCAACCUGUCUGUUUCAGCCAGAGGCACAGCAAUGGUAGCUUGUGAAACAUCCCACCUGAAAAGCAUUCCACCACUUCUUCCCCUGACACACGGUGCAAAAUCUGUAGAACCACUGGAUUUUUUUCUCGUGCUUGUUUUGCAUUAAAUAAACUGACUUAACCAAUAAUGAAUCCUGCCAUCCUCACUGAUGAGGUAUAAGAAAGAAACUGGGAAGUACCAAAUGUGCAGUGCAGAAUAAAAACACCCAGCCAGCUCUUUUUUUGCAUUAACACUCAAUCACCCAUAUACAACACUGACCCAGUCUUGUAAUCCUUCCAAAGCCAAAACUGCCAGUUAGCAUCCAAGGAGCAUUUUAGGAUGAAGAAAAGGGUGCAGCAUUGCAAAUCAACUGAUCCUGCAGAGAGUUACACACAGAUUUAAACACUGUUCACAGGACUAGCUCCACUUGUAAUGCCAACAUCUGCAGUGUAAACUGAGUGCUUGCUUAAUUAACUGCAGGAGGAAGGCAAAAUCUCUGUCCAUUCACUGUGUAGUCACAGGGUGAAGAGUUCUGGCACAGGGAAUUGGGCAGGAAUGUAUGGCCAGGCUAGGGAAAGAGCAGGGUCCCUUCCUGCUCAAUGAGAGCUCAGUCACACAUCAGGUUAAACUGGUUGUCAAAUCCUGAACUGCUAUAAAGUAAUUCUUCUUCAGUGAAAGGAACUAAUCAUGCCUGCUCGCUGACAAAACAACACUGAGACCAAACAUGAAGCACAAACAAUAGAUGAUGACAAUUUCACUGAAAAAUGAAACACCAAGAGUAAAAAUGUCAUGUCCUGAGAAGGCUAAUGAGAUAUAAUACAAUGAAAAUGAGCUCAUUUUUAAAUGGGUAUUUUCAAGGAUGUGAAGUGGCAUAAAAUGAUUUCUCUGCUUCUGUUCAGAGGCAAGAAACAGACUCCCAACUGCAAUGCUGUAUAGUGUCAGUAGGGACAAACAGAAAAAUCCCUGCAAAAUCCACAAAGGAUCCCACCAAGAAAAAAAAAAGGUAUUAAAAAAAAGUUUAAUUCUACCUUAAAAGAAAUUGCAGGAUUUUCUUUCAUGCUUUAUUAUACCCUUCUUUAGCAGUCAGCUGUCCCUAAUAUCCUCUUGCAACAGGAUACUACAGAAUGCUGAAACCCCUGGUAAGUAGGAUCUGGAUGCAGUCAUCUCACCACAUCGUUGUCUCUAUGGUAACCUAGGCCAGCCCUAAAUACUAUAAUCCUGCUUUACUACAGUAAAGCCAGUUAAUGACUUUAAUUGAAUGUUCCUGCCAAAUAAUGGUGCUCUAAUAUUUAUUGACAUUUCAAGUCUGUCCAUCUCUUUGGACUAUUUGUUAUAUGGAAAAGCGAUGCAAACACAGCUUUUUUAAAAGAAAGGAAGCUACUACAGAUUUCAGCUUUUUGGUAUUAUCAAGGUGCAGUCCUGCAAACUCCAGCUUCUAAGUGGCACCACUGACUUCAGAGGCUCCAGUGGCAGGAGCCAGUCCUGCAGAGCACAGAGGAGCUGGGCAGGCACGGGAGCAGUCCUUGGCUCUUGGCAGGUUCCCAUCAGACAGUGCCAUUGGCAGUGGAUGACCAGAGCAUCCCACUGGCAUGCACUGGAUGUCCUAAUUAAAGAGUGAAUAAAUGCUGUGUGAUGGGGCCUGGGAAGAGGAGAGCACAGAACAAGUAGGAUGGGCCAAGCAGUUAAACAAGGGAGGAAAUAUUGCUUUGUCAAUACCACUGACAAUGUAAUUAUUAUUUUCCAUGAAUAUUCCACUUAAUUCCUUUCUGGGAGACAGAUGGUUAAGUCCCUGGAAAACAGAGAAGCCCUUUUGCUCCUCAUAUCAUACAGAAAGAUUGUUCUAUUUUAUUGCUAUUCUACUUUUUUAUUGCCCUACUUUUUUUUCCCUAGCUUUUUUUCUCCAGUUUUCUAUUAUUUAGUUUAAUUAUUGUGGAAAAGCUUUACAAAAUAUUAUUAUUUCUAGAGGGUUUUAUUUUUUCCUGAUGGGUGAAAAAAGCUGGCUAUAGGAUUUAAUGCUAUCAUUUUCGGUGCUACACGUGUGUAAGUUUGGAUUCAGAAGUCUGCUUUUUGUUGCUUUAAAUCACCAGACAUAAAAAUCUACCUACUGAAAUUCAGUACAAGUUUUUUUGAAGCAUCUUCCACCCUGCCAAGUCCUGCACGCGUAUGCUCACCCGGGCUCGCGUGUGCUUUUAGUAGGAUGGGGUAGCACGCCAUGAAGAAUUUAUAGCGGGAAGCAAUCUCCUGCUCUUGCACAUCCCUAAACGUUAGUGUAGAGAGUCAUUUAGAUUUUUAAUAGGGCAGGAUAAAAAAUAUAAAUAAAUAAAGUACGCAAGCAUCAGGGUUGGCUUCUCUGCGACAUAUGGAGAAGGGAUAUGGGGGUAUGCCCGGCCUCCCCGCUGCCCAGAUGAGGCGGAUUACGGGGGCCAGAGGAGAGAGAAGAGAAACACGAUUAAACCUGACAGCGCUCCAGCAGCCCCUCUCACACACACGCGGCUACCGUGGCUCCACGGCGCGGUCCCUGCCGCAGACAUCGGCAGAUGCCGGCACCAGCCCUCCCCGCGGGCUCCGCGACCCCG